UACGUAGGCAGCAAGCGUUGUUCGGAAUUACUGGGCGUAAAGAGUGUGUAGGCGGUGCUCUAAGUCUGUUGUGAAAUCUCCCGGCUCAACCUGGGAAUUGCAUUCGAGACUGCAUUGCUGGAGUACGGAAGAGGAAGGCGGAAUUCCCGGUGUAGCGGUGAAAUGCGUAGAUAUCGGGAGGAACAUCAGUGGCGAAGGCGGCCUUCUGGUCCAGUACUGACACUCAAGUGCGAAAGCGUGGGGAGCAAACAGG
rnacentral:rRNA from 1 species